ensembl:lncRNA LNCAROD lncRNA activating regulator of DKK1
CUGAUACACUUGGGGGGACAUAAAGGGAAACCCACACACCCAAGGAGGAGGGCUCUGGCCAUGCAAGGCUGAAGGCCCAGUGUACUGAUAUGAAAACUGAAGCUCAGACAGAAGAGGCGACGUUGCUUUCUUAACCACUGGAUUUGCAGUGCUGUGGUUCUCAGAAGAGGCCAGGACAGGUUAAUCCACUCACUUGGGAGGCAGGUACCCACAUUUCUCUCCAGCUGUUACCUCCAACCUUUAGUUCCACCGGUCAAAGAAGAUAUUUUGUUUUGCCUUGUCCUUUGCUAAAGUGAUGGUACUUGUUUGCUUUCUCUCUGACAGAAAAUGGCAGCUUUGGUUGUUCCCUCUUCCUGCCAAUUCCUGUUGUUUUCAGUCAUUUUAAUUUUAGCCUUCUUCUGGAAGGUGCGAGUGGUAUCUCAGCAUGAUUUCCUAUUUCCCUCAUGAAAAAUGAUAUCAAAUACUUUAGAGUUUCUUCAUCAAACUUUUGUGUUUCUUCUCUUGUGCAUUUUCUAUUCAAGUCCUAUGCCUACUUUUAAAAAUUUCUUUACAUUUUUAUUGAUAAAUAAAAUGUAAGCAUUUUAAUGCUUAAUGAAAUGCUUAAUGUUGUGAGCAUUUCUAUAUAAACUAGAGGCAAGUUUUUUUCAGUUGAAUGUUAUUAAUAAUUUUGAACAGUCUCCUCAUUUUAUCACUGGUGUCUUUUGAUGAGCAGAGUUUUCAUGUUUAAUGAAAAGUAAUCUACACUUUUUUUCUUUUUUCAUUAGCAUUUUAAUUUGCUACCCAAAACAUUCUUGACUACUCCUAUUUCAUGAAGCUAUUCUUCUGUUUUCUCUUAAAUGACUCAGCUUUUCACAUUUUGACUUAGCUUUUACAUUUCUUGACUUAACUUUUACAUUAUGCUCUUAUAUUAAUACUGAGUUAAUUUGCAUUGAUGGUGUGUGGGAGUAUUCAAGGCAGAUUAUCUCUUUUAAUAAAUCUACAGUGAUCUAAGCAAUAUUUGUACAAAAGUAUUUCCAGUCUCCAUUAAAGAUCAUUUAUAUCUAUAUGGAAGUUUAAAAGACCACUUAUAUGUACAAAUGUAUGCAUGAAUUAUCUAUUCUAUUCCACUGGUUUAUUGAUGCAUCCCAUGCCAAUUCAACACUGUUUUAAUUGCUAUGUCUUAUAGUUUAAGUCUGAAAAUAUGAGUAUAAUUCCUCAGAUAAUACAUGCUAUAUCAAUUGUAGAAUAAGCUGGUUAAUUUCUCUGGAAUUUUGAUUAAAAUGGAGUUGACUCUUGAGAUCACGGUGUUGAGAACUGACAUUGUACAAUACUGAUUCAUCUAUGUUCCAAUGAACUGUUGCUAAAAAUAUAGAAAUAAAAAUGAAUGUGUACAUUACCCUUAAAUGUAAAA